rnacentral:lncRNA from 1 species
UAUUUAGCCAAGAGUGAGAAUCAUUGUGCAGUCCAGCGAGACAGGCAUGAGCAGGAGCAGGAGCAGGGUGACCUACAGUGGGACUUCAUGGAUACCUAGGCCAGGAAACUGGAGGAGAGGCCUGGGGCAAGGCUCUCCGGUGAGGCCAAGACUUCCUGACCCGGUUAGAGUAAACAGACGGGUGUCAUGGGGACUCAGUGCCUUGCUCAACAAACAGAGUUGGAGAAUCGCUUCAGGGCCUGCUUCCAGGAGAUGGCAACUAAAAUGCAGCAUAGAGUUACUACUGAGCUUUGGAAAUCAUUUGGAGCAUUCAAGAGGGCUCUAAUCAUUCAGACUGCACUUUCUGGAGAGAUCAUUUCUUUCAUGUGACUGCACAACAAAUGAAGGAGAGUAUUCUGGACAUCAGUGGCCAGCUUCAUUAUUUUCAUCUUCUUUUGCUUCCAUGAGAGUUUUCCAGAUCUCAUUAGCUACCAUAGAUAAAAAUGUCAUCCCUCGCUUCUGUAAUGCAGAGAUAUUUUCUCUAGUGGCUCUUACCUCUUAGAUCAUUUCCUUUGUUUCAAGUCAUAGCCAUAGAUUUUGCCCUAAGAAGGCCUCUUAUUCCCAGCAUUCCUAUAGGAUUGAUGAUAGUAUGCUGUGACUUUCUUUUCUUUUCUUUCUUUUUUUUUGCCAACAGGCUACUAUGUCCUAUAUACUAUUGUGCAUUUUUCUGCUAUGAAGUAGGGCAGCUCUGGUGAUUCCAGAAGUUCCUGGAAAGUUUUUGGAUCAACUGAGGCAACAAGCAAUCAUUGUUUUCUCAAAAUAUGAAUAUGAAUUUUCUUAUGCCUGAUUGCAAAAUACACAAAGAAAAUUUUGUUGAUUAAAUUAAAACAUAUUAAACUCCUG